AGUCUUUCCCAUAUAGAUUCGGGGAUAAGUGUAAAAACGGCUGAAGACUGCUUACGACAUUGUUCUGACUAUGUAACUGCUACACACUUUGUCAUUAAGGACUCUACCUGCUAUUGCCUUUCUUAUGAACCUACAAUCAAUGGUGAUAUAAAUGACUGCAGGAUGCAAUGUACAAACGCCAGCUACUCUCCUUGUAGCUCAGGUCGGUCAGCCAUGGUUUUUACAUUUGUUGAAGUUUUAAGCACGAACCCAACAAAGAAGUACAUAGAAAACGAGUGUCUUGCAACAACCAAAGACAAAAGCAAGUUUGUUGUCAGUGACUGCAAUGAAAACUAUUUAUAUGGAUGUAACA